rnacentral:lncRNA from 1 species
UACCUGAUCUUUUCAUGAAGAUUUAGGAAGCUCAAUCCAUAGACCAGGAAAUCACCAAGAAUUUGAAUAAGUUCUCUUUUAACGAAUUUUCUGAUAUCAGGAUCUCAAACGAUGGGUUGUUUAGAUUUCAGGACCAAAAUUGGGUUCUUGUCGCUGUCAGGAAGAAUAUUCUCAAGGCUGACCAUGCCUCCAAAGUAUC